rnacentral:rRNA from 1 species
AGGGGGACUUCGGUCCCUGAGUAGAGCGGCGGACGGGUGAGUAACACGUGGGUAACCUGCCCCCGGGCGAGGAAUAACCCAGGGAAACUUGGGCUAAUACCGCAUAAUAUCUCGAGCCUCUUGGGGCAUGAGAUCAAAGCUGGGGAUCCUUCGGGACCUAGCGCCUGGGGAGGGGCCUGCGGCCGAUUAGCUUGUUGGUGAGGUAAUGGCUCACCAAGGCUCCGAUCGGUAGCCGGCCUGAGAGGACGAUCAGCCACACUGGGACUGAGACACGGCCCAGACUCCUACGGGAGGCAGCAGUGGGGAAUAUUGGACAAUG